CUUAUCCCACUGUUCUAUGUAAAUUGGCUCUAUUUUUAACAGAGAUGUUUGAUCUUUGAAUCAUUUACACAGACCCUAUUUACAUAAUGUGGCAGGGCAUACCAUAACAAGGUUUGGUUUACCUUUACCUGGUACUACGCUUAAGUCUCUUGAUUAAUGCUAUGGACGUGCAAAACUACACAAACCAUUUCAAGCAUCUAACAUGGCUGAUGCCCAAAUUGAAACAUCUAAAAUCUGAAACAAUAACAAAAAUGCCCUGGACUGACAGCAACAAGAACCAACCUGGCACAGCAUCUUUUCUCUUGGAAAAGAAAAUCUUUGCUGUAUUUUAUAAUAAACUUAUAACUUAAUAAAAAACUAUUAGAAAAAUAAAUAAAUAAAUAAAUAGAAACCAACAACAAUAA